rnacentral:lncRNA from 1 species
CUUGAACAAAUUGUUGGAUCAUUGCUUUUAAUUGUUAAUUUUAAUAAUUCGAGCUGUUAGAAAAUUAUAACUACUUUAUUUAAAGCGUAUAGACAUAGUGCCCAGUGAUUCACUAAUCAUUAAUUCUAAAAGCUCGAGCUGUUCAAAAAAUAUACCUAAUUCAUUUAAAGUGUAUAGACAUAGCGCCCGCUGGUCUGCUAACCAUUAAUUCUAAAAGCUCGAGCUGCUCAAAAGAUACAACUAAUUUAUUUAAAGCGUAUAAACACAGCGCCCGCUAGUCUCAACUGUGACUUGACCUACCCCGGCCUUCACCACAGGAUAA